ensembl:snoRNA
GCAGUUUGGGCACUGCAGAUGUAGCUGCUGGGUCACAUGCAGGUCAGUCGGUGGCAGAGAGGAGAGAGGUCAUAUCUAGGCUCAGUGUUCUGACCUGUGAACAUCUGAUUGAUUAGUAGCCUAACACU